ACCAUUAUUCGGUCCCAUGGCCAAUGAGGUAAAUCCAAGGCAUGGUUAUUGCUAGUUGAAAAUUAUUAUUAUUAUUAUUAUUAUUAUUAUUAUUAUUAUCAUUAUUAUUAAGGCAGUGAGCUGGCGGAACUGUUAGCAUGCC
rnacentral:snRNA from 1 species